rnacentral:rRNA from 1 species
AUUGAACGCUGGCGGCAGGCUUAACACAUGCAAGUCGAGCGGGGUGAUGGUGCUUGCACUAUCACUUAGCGGCGGACGGGUGAGUAAUGCUUAGGAAUCUGCCUAUUAGUGGGGGACAACAUCUCGAAAGGGAUGCUAAUACCGCAUACGUCCUACGGGAGAAAGCAGGGGAUCACUUGUGACCUUGCGCUAAUAGAUGAGCCUAAGCCGGAUUAGCUAGUUGGUGGGGUAAAGGCCUACCAAGGCGACGACCUGCAGCGGGGCUGAGUGGAUGAUCCGCCACACUGGGACUGAGACACGGCCCAGACUCCUACGGGAGGCAGCAGUGGGGAAUAUUGGACAAUGGGGGGAACCCUGAUCCAGCCAUGCCGCGUGUGUGAAGAAGGCCUUAUGGUUGUAAAGCACUUUAAGCGAGGAGGAGGCUCUUUUGGUUAAUACCCAAGAUGAGUGGACGUUACUCGCAGAAUAAGCACCGGCUAACUCUGUGCCAGCCGCCGCAGUAA